rnacentral:rRNA from 1 species
GACGGACGCUGGCGGCGUGCUUAACACAUGCAAGUCGAACGUGAUUUUUAUGGAAAUUCUUUCGGGAAUGGAAAUGAAAUGAAAGUGGCGAACGGGUGAGUAACACGUGAGCAACCUACCUUACACAGGGGGAUAGCCGUUGGAAACGACGAUUAAUACCGCAUGAGACCACAGAAUCGCAUGAUAUAGGGGUCAAAGAUUUAUCGGUGUAAGAAGGGCUCGCGUCUGAUUAGCUAGUUGGAAGGGUAAAGGCCUACCAAGGCGACGAUCAGUAGCCGGUCUGAGAGGAUGAACGGCCACAUUGGAACUGAGACACGGUCCAAACUCCUACGGGAGGCAGCAGUGGGGAAUAUUGCACAAUGGGGGGAACCCUGAUGCAGCGACGCCGCGUGAGCGAAGAAGGUUUUCGAAUCGUAAAGCUCUGUCCUAUGAGAAGAUAAUGACGGUAUCAUAGGAGGAAGCCCCGGCUAAAUACGUGCCAGCAGCCGCGGUAAUACGUAUGGGGCGAGCGUUGUCCGGAAUUAUUGGGCGUAAAGGGUACGUAGGCGGUUUUUUAAGUCAGGUGUGAAAGCGUGAGGCUUAACCUCAUUAAGCACUUGAAACUGGAAGACUUGAGUGAAGGAGAGGAAAGUGGAAUUCCUAGUGUAGCGGUGAAAUGCGUAGAUAUUAGGAGGAAUACCGGUGGCGAAGGCGACUUUCUGGACUUUUACUGACGCUCAGGUACGAAAGCGUGGGGAGCAAACAGG